rnacentral:misc_RNA from 1 species
UCAAUUCAUCUCAUCACAAUCAAAUUCCAGCAAUUAUACAAAGUCUCCAAUAAUUAGCUCAAAGCCCUAAUUCAAAUGGUCAAGGUCAACAAUACACAUUCAAUCAAAUUUCUAAUACAUGAAACUUCUUCCCUCAACAUAUAACUCAUUCAUCAACAUCACAAAUCACCUUUUACAUGCAUGAAAUUGACAAUAUCCCAUGCUUCUGAAGACUGCUGAAAUGAG